UUAAGAGCACAAAUUUUGAAUGAGUAGCGCGAAAAUUGUGUCACGCCGCGUUAACCCCGCUCGUACUAUCUUUUUCACGAAAAUGUAUUUCGCAGUCGUUGCCUACAUUUACACCGAUGCAUAUUAAAUAUUGGAUUAACGCGCAUGUAUAAUUCUCGUACGAGCAACGCGACGAAGACAGAGACCGCGUUCUACGACCAAUUCUGCGUUUUACGCGGUAAACUGCUCGAUAAUCGAUUAGAAUCGCGUGUAAAUAAUGAACAUACGGUGAACUUGAACGAGUUCAACGACGAAGAGGGAACGGAACUCAAAGCGGAGCUCGUUUCUUCUAUCGCUGCUUUUUAUAUAUCGCCAAAGACUUUGACGAUACAAACAUUUCUGAGAAAGUAUACAUAAACGGAACGUAUAUAUAUAAGAGGAAACAAUCAUUUCUAAGAAGCACGCAGAAUGAAUGAGGUACAGUCAACGUCAAGAUACGAGUCAAAGGGCUAAUACCGUUCAAGUUUAGCCCAAGAACGGCGCUCUGUCAAAUAAUCACAAGACCCGAAUAUUCGACACGAAUUUUCUUUAUAUAUAUCAGUGGUGCAUACCGACUCGCAUCCAUUGAAGGAAAAAUAUUUGAGAUCCGUUUUAAUCGAGUAUCAGCAAAAGUCUGUGUGACAAAUUGUUAUAAAAUGUUCGUAAAUGCGUAUAAUGGUAGAGAUAAAUAAGACGUUAUAUUUGCUUUGUCAAGUGGGUCGCUGAAUUCGCAAACGAUGUCUGAUUUUCGAGGACGUACGAGAUCUCGACUACGUUCCUAGCUGUAUUAUCAUGAAGCCAAAAAAUUUUUUUAUCAGGCAAUAAGAUUGGUGUAUAAUUAUCGGUCAACAUUGGUGAAAUUUUGAAAUCUCGUUUCUAUGACUAAUCAUGAUUCAUUUAUGUCGGAGAAAAACAGCUGAAUAUGACUUUUAUGAUAAAACCACUACACCCAGCGAUUGUUGCGUACAUAUAAAUUGCUCUAGUAUUAUUUUUCCUUCUGGAAGUCUUUACUGGAAGAUAAAGAAAAAAAAUAUAUCAAACUAUACGAAUUGAUGCUUACUUCAAAUUUCCUCGAUUCGGAUUCAUAUACCAUAUUAGAGAAAUAAAAAUACUCGAAUAUGUUCGAAAUUCAUAACGAUUCCUCAUGCUUGUAAAGAACAAAACCAAAUCGAAUUUACAAAAUCUAAAAAAAAUCAUUUAAUCGAGGUUUCUCGUUUUUCAUGUUUCACGUAUGAAUAAAAGAAAAAUAAUAAUACGAAAUCUACUGUCGAUGCAAAGACAAUUUUAUAACUUGACAGAACAAUAAUUUUAUGUUGAAGAUAAUUCGAAUAAAAAUGUUUGUCAGUGUGUAUAAUCCCUUACGUUCGUAAGAACCACACGUGGUGGUUGAGUUAAGUGCGAUAGGUCGUGAGAGCGUCGUUAGCCGCGUUACAACCCGUCCGGAUCGGAACUAAUCGCGACUGGAUUCACGAGCCUUCGGGGGCAGAGUAGGAAAUUAUUGAUCUCGUUCCAACGUUGCCGCAAACCGUCUUGCGCCUCCCCCCCCUCUCAAUCUCUUGCGGCUCCAUCUUCGUCGAUUCACUGUCGCGCUCGACAUAUGAGUUUUCUGUCCGGGAAUCUGCUACGCGUGACGUUUGACAGAGGUCAGGCAGUUUUAGGCGGUUUGAAUAUCCCGAGUGCGUUUGCUCCAGUGCCGCAAUGAAAAGGAGGCUUCGCAAGGAAAAAAAAAAGAAUACAAUUAGUUGAUGUUUGCGCUAAUUCCUGUUUCUUUGUAAUACAACCAGCGAUAAAAUUGCAACUUUUUUCUCCAGUUCAAAUGCGCACUGAUAAAGAUUUCUUUUACCGUUACGUCACUGAAUUGAUGAUUAUUCUGGGCUUUGAAUCGUCUCUCUCUGGAACCCAUUCCACCGUCGACAUUUGAUUUAAAAAUUUCCAAACAUUCCGGCUCGGUCGAGCGUCCGCGGUUUCAACUAUAUAUAACGGAGCUCGUCAUUCAUAGCGACAAAAUGAAACGCGGCGAUAAGACCAGUCCCAAAGACUUGAGAGUCCCUUUCAUACACUUUUCCAAUCCGAUAAAGUUUUUUUUUCUUUCAUAAAAAAAAAAAUUGAAAUCUUCAUAGAGCUCAUCUUGGUCGUAGGCGUCGACGUAAUAAACUUGGUUUUUUUCUUUUCGAGUUGCAAUAGAUUUAUUGACAAAAUAUAUUAAUCUUAAAACACUCUGAUGAACCAAGUACAAGAAAAGAAUUUGCGAUGUUUUUCAAACGUAAAAUGAAGUAAUGACGAUUUUGUAAAAAGAUUGUACGUCUUUAAAAUUCCCACGAAUCGAGCCAGCGCAAGAAAUGCAUCGGGCUCUCCGGGUCCACCGAUGCGGGACCGUCCAUUCCAUAGGACAGCGGGGCGAACAGAUAGAAACUAAAAUGACAUUGUUGUAAUUAUUCUAGUACUUAAUCGUUCUGUAUAUUUGGAAAAAAAAAUAUAAAAAAAAACACUAGCUUUUAUAUUAUUAUAUUUUCACCGACAAACAAUUGUAAUAACUUUCGAUUUGUUUUCUGUCUCAAAUGAAUUUUCCAAAGUGAUUAUACAUCUGCUGGUUUCUAAAAAAAAUUGUGAAUUCAACAAAAACUAAGUCGGAUCAUAAACAAAGGUCAAACUUACCUGUAAAAAGUGAUGGAAAUGACGCCGCUCAAUAAAACAUGAUGUAGCACGUUA